UUAAGUUCAGCGGGUAUCCCUACCUAAUCCGAGGUCAAUCAUUAAAAAAUGGGGGGGGUUCUGGCGAGUGGCCACCAGGUGUCUAUAGCGAUGAAUUUACUACGCUUAGAGCCUGACAGCACUGCCACUGAUUUUAGAGACUGCCUUGACAGCAGGUCUCAACACCAAGCUAGGCUUGAGGGGUGAUAAUGACGCUCGAA
rnacentral:misc_RNA from 1 species